CGUGUAGGCGGGAAUGCAAGUCAGAUGUGAAAUGCCGAGGCUUAACUUCGGAGCUGCAUCUGAAACUGCGUUUCUUGAGUGUCGGAGAGGAAAGUGGAAUUCCCAGUGUAGCGGUGAAAUGCGUAGAUAUUGGGAGGAACACCAGUGGCGAAGGCGACUUUCUGGACGAUAACUGACGCUGAGGCGCGAAAGCGUGGGGAGCAAACAGGAUUAGAUACCCUGGUAGUCCACGCCGUAAACGAUGGAUACUAGGUGUAGGAGGUAUCGACCCCUUCUGUGCCGGAGUUAACACAAUAAGUAUCCCACCUGGGGAGUACGGCCGCAAGGUUGAA
rnacentral:rRNA from 1 species